UCAUCCUGAAGUAUGCAGCAGCUCCAAAGCACUGGAUGCUGAAAACUGACCGGUGUGUUUGCCCUUUGGACAUCCACUGGCCCUAUCAAGCUUCUCCCUCUCAUCGCUUCCCUAAGAAACAAGCACAAGUGUGCUUCUUACAGAGGAGGAAGUAAAAAAAGAUGUGCAUGCAGUGGGUUAUUAAAACGGAUGGCAGGCUCCACAGUGAUGUGAGCUACCCUGCCAGUUUUAUGCCUGUCAUCAACAUUGACAAGGCCGGUGAGAAUUUCCAUCUGAUUUGUGACCCGGAGGUCACUUUGAUUUUCAUCAAAUUAUGCCUGAGGAGGCCAAGUGUAAGUUCUGAGAAAUAAGAAAGAUCUCUGUGGGCAUCACCUAGAUUGACAUUUUCCAGAUUGAUUUGGAGCUUGGUCAAAUUAAUUAGCCAUUUCACCAAGUUCUGAUAACCCGUGUAUGUUGACUGAAAGUGCUAACCUGGAACAGAUCGGCGUAAUCACCAGCAGAAAGAGAGCACGAGACAAAGAGAGAGGCAACCUGACUUUUUUAAUAUGGUUCAUGUGAAAGAUGUCAAUGGCAAUAGCUUUGCCAUCCAGCUUUCCAACAUAUUCAUUAUUGGAGAAGACAAUAGACCGUGGAUUCCUUGCCCCAAAGAAAAGAUGCCUGCUUCCUCAUUGCUGGAGACAGUGACAGUCUAGAAGCCAAAAAGGGCAGU
rnacentral:lncRNA from 1 species